rnacentral:rRNA from 1 species
CAAUAGCGUAUAUUAAAGUUGUUGCAGUUAAAAAGCUCGUAGUUGGAUUUCUGGUGGGAGCGACCGGUCGGCGCUUAACGGCGUGUGCACUGGAGUUGUCUCUUGCCAUCCUUGAGGAGAACGUGUCUGGCAUUAAGUUGUCGGGCUUGGGAUCCUCAUCGUUUACUGUGAAAAAAUUAGAGUGUUUAAAGCAGGCAUUUGCUGUGAAUACAUUAGCAUGGAAUAAUAAGAUAGGACUUUGGUGCUAUUUUGUUGGUUUGCGUACCAAGGUAAUGAUUAAUAGGGAUAGUUGGGGGUAUUCGUAUUCAAUUGUCAGAGGUGAAAUUCUUGGAUUUAUGGAAGACGAACAGCUGCGAAAGCAUUUACCAAGGAUGUUUUCAUUA